CCUACGGGAGGCAGCAGUGAGGAAUCUUGGUCAAUGGACGCAAGUCUGAACCAGCCAUGCCGCGUGCAGGAAGACGGCUCUAUGAGUGGUAAACUGCUUUUGUACGAGGGUAAACGCAGAUACGCGUAUCUGUCUGAAAGUAUCGUACGAAUAAGGAUCGGCUAACUCCGUGCCAGCAGCCGCGGUAAUACGGAGGAUUCAAGCGUUAUCCGGAUUUAUUGGGUUUAAAGGGUGCGUAGGCGGUCGGAUAAGUUAGAGGUGAAAUCCCGAGGCUCAACUUCGGAAUUGCCUAGGAUACUGUUCGGCUAGAGAGUAGUUGAGGUAGGCGGAAUGUAUGGUGUAGCGGUGAAAUGCUUAGAGAUCAUACAGAACACCGAGUGCGAAGGCAGCUUACCAAGCUACUUCUGACGUUGAGGCACGAAAGCGUGGGGAGCAAACAGGAUUAGAUACCCCGGUAGUC
rnacentral:rRNA from 1 species